CAAUGGGCGCAAGCCUGAUCCAGCCAUACCGCGUGGGUGAAGAAGGCCUUCGGGUUGUAAAGCCCUUUUGUUGGGAAAGAAAUCCAGCUGGUUAAUACCCGGUUGGGAUGACGGUACCCAAAGAGUAAGCACCGGCUAACUUCGUGCCAGCAGCCGCGGUAAUACGAAGGGUGCAAGCGUUACUCGGAAUUACUGGGCGUAAAGCGUGCGUAGGUGGUCGUUUAAGUCCGUUGUGAAAGCCCUGGGCUCAACCUGGGAACUGCAGUGGAUACUGGACGACUAGAGUGUGGUAGAGGGUAGCGGAAUUCCUGGUGUAGCAGUGAAAUGCGUAGAGAUCAGGAGGAACAUCCAUGGCGAAGGCAGCUACCUGGACCAACACUGACACUGAGGCACGAAAGCGUGGGGAGCAAACAGGAUUAGAUACCCUGGUAGUCCACGCCCUAAACGAUGCGAACUGGAUGUUGGGUGCAAUUUGGCACGCAGUAUCGAAGCUAACGCGUUAAGUUCGCCGCCUGGGGAGUACGGUCGCAAGACUGAAACUCAAAGGAAUUGACGGGGGCCCGCACAAGCGGUGGAGUAUGUGGUUUAAUUCGAUGCAACGCGAAGAACCUUACCUGGCCUUGACAUGUCGAGAACUUUCCAGAGAUGGAUUGGUGCCUUCGGGAACUCGAACACAGGUGCUGCAUGGCUGUCGUCAGCUCUGUCGUGAGAUGUUUGGGUUAAAUUCCCGCAACCGAGCGCCAACCCUUUGUUCCUUANUUUGCCCACCACGNUAAUNGGUNGGGGNAACCUUUUUAAAGGGAAAAACCCGCCCCGGGUGGAACCAAAAACCCNNGNAANGGAAAAGGGUNGGGGGGAUUGAACCCUUNNAAAANUUUCANUUUCAUUUGGGGCCCCCUUUUAACGGGGGCCCAGGGGGGGCNUUUUNCCCCCAACCNNUUNNCCUUUNNCCNAAAUNGGGGGUNNGGGGG
rnacentral:rRNA from 1 species